rnacentral:rRNA from 1 species
ACAAGAAAUACCGAUGCGGGACCCUACGGGUGCCGCGUUCGGAAUGAGUACGAUUCGAACCACCUAACGAGGAACGAUCGGAGGGCAAGUCUGGUGCCAGCAGCCGCGGUAAUUCCAGCUCCAAUAGCGUACGUUAAAGUUGCUGCAGUUAAAAAGCUCGUAGUUGAACGUUCGGGGUUCCGCGGACGGGGCCGCCCCGCGAGGGACGGCGCCGCCCCGGGGGCUCGUGAUAUCUCAUCUCGCCGCCCGUCGCGAGGCGGACGGAGGGAUGGAUGAGGUUACCUGGAAAAAAUCGGGGCGAUCUAGGCGGGCGAACCUCGCCAACGAACGAUCGGACAUGGGAUAACGGAAGAGGGCGUCGGCUCGACUUCGUCGGUUCCUCGGGCCGAGGCACGUACGGUGAAUAGGGACGGUCGGGGCCGCCCGUACCGGGUCGUGAUAGGUGAAAUUCUAGGAUCGACCCGAGACGAACCGCCGCGAAAGCAUUCGGCAAGGACGCUUUCAUUAAUCAAGAAC